ensembl:lncRNA
GACUGAGGCGCGCUCUGAGUGUGUUUUGUGUGGAGAGUGAAGCGUGAACACAGUGACAGUGACGGUUAAUGUGUUUGAUUAGGAGGACAUUAGAGCAAAGACACAUUUUAGGAUCAAACGUUGAUGCCUAGUGUACCUGUGGACCUUUGCCCUAGGAGUGGCGACCCUCCUGUCCAGGGACGCUUGGCCAGGACCGGCGGCGUCCGGGUGCCGAGGUGGUGACUUGGGGAGUGCACUGGAGAAAAAACAUCUGAGAGGUGUGAUCCACCGGUGGUGAUAUGUUGAUAUUUUGAGCAGGAGGAUAAGAGAGACUGGAGGAGGAGACUCUAGCUUCACAUAAGUAUGAACUGCAGACUUAACACUGUGGUUGCUGAUUUUGAGUUACUGAUGUUUGCAUUAAGAAAACUGUGCUAUAUUAGCUGUGUUUUGAUUAAGGUAUCAUGUUAUAUUAUUGGGAAUGCCAAAUGCUACAGUGGAGAAGACUUUUUGAUACCACUCAUGACAGGAAUAUGUUAUUAUUAACCACAGCAGGCCACUGUAAAAAAGUCAAUUAAAUUUUAUAGAGGAAAAUCGCCAAAACCUUAACAAUACCUAUGAAUGACUUGCCACAUUCAGAAUAGAGAUAUGCAAUAAUAAACAUUGGUCCACGUGAUUUAGGUUCUCACUUGAAAUAGUAAGUUAUUAAAUGUAGAAUAUAAUCGACAGGGACAUUUGAUAGGAUGUGGUACUGCAAAAGAACAAGAGCAAAGUAAAUAAAGAAAAUAUUGUGUUUAGUUUGGAUAUUUUCAAAUUAAAAUGUACCAUUACACUCAGAGGAUCAAUAUGAAAUAAAACAUAUGCAAAAUUUGUAGGAAGUACAUGACUGAUAACUGUUCUGUCCUGAGCGUUUGUUUCUAGAGCACCCACUUGACCACACCAACAGUUUCUCGCCACCGAGGAGGGGUACUUGCAAAAAGAAUAAAAUAAAAAUCUGAGUUUAACAAAACAUUUUAAAUGUAAAUAUCAAGCUUACCUUUCUUUUUCCAUGAAAUGUGCUUGUGGGCACGCCAGCCAUUUUGAAAAGGUGGGCAAAACAAUUGGCAAGGCCACACCCCCACACAUGUGACAUAAUUUUAAAGGUACUGUUGUCCCCUCUAAGAAACAUCAGGACUUAGAGGAGUGGCAAGUAGAGUAUGAGAGCUACAAGCAAAAAACUAAAUGUGUACUACAGUGCGCAAAAAUGAAUUACUGGGUCAUCAGGGGGUCUUGAGGGACAUUUAUAAAACAAAAAAUCCCACAAACCUUAAAAGUGCACUUGAAAAGCUCACACAAGAAGGUUAACCUAGCUUACCUAGAAGACCUCAUCAGGGGGAGCACGCUCCCCCUCGUUGAAGAGCUCACCCACUUAACUCGCAUCCCAAGAAAAUAGCUAACCCCAGAUAAGGCAGCGUGAUGUAUCCCGAGAUAACAGGACUGGGACAUCUAAAUAAAGGUGUGAAACAAUCGCCUUCAAAAGGUUAUCAAUUAACUUUAACCAAAAUUAGGAACACUCGGUGCGGCAAGAGUUAAUAGUUAUUAGUCUCAACACCCAAGGAUAAUUAGAAGAGCAUGACUGAUAUGAUGGAACGGAGAUUUUGUUACACUUAACUUUUGCAAAACACAAAUAGAACUAAAUUGAAACUAAGGAUUUUCAGAAAAUAAAAACUAGACUAAACUAGCAAAGAAUUGGUAAAAACUAAUUACAACUGGCAAAAAAUUGAAAAUCUGGAGUCGAAACUAAAUAAAAAAUAAAACCUAAUGAAAAUGGCGAAACGUUUAAAACUCUGGUGCAGAGAUUGGCAAAUCUGACCAGGAACGUUAUAAAAUGGAUUGUCAGAACAGUCAGCGUUAAAGCCACAUUUGACAGUCCAUACUAGGAUGGCAUUGGACAUCUUGGGGGUGGAAAGGGGUUGGUGUGACCAAGGUGUGGUUUGGCUUGUCGUAUGUAUAUUUGAGAUCAUAUGGCUCUGGAUGGACCAGUUACCAGGGCAUGGAAGGAGGACAGACUCAUUAAAGGAGGAGAAGGAACUUGCUGGGAUUGGAGAUCCUCUGGGUGAGUGGUUGAUUAAAAGCAUGCAUAAAAUAGAAGUUAUCUGUUGUUAUUGAUUGGUAAUAGAUUGAUAAUUGGCCACAUUUACAGCUGUAUUGACUUGUUGUGGACGUAGUCGACUUCAGGUUUAAACACUCUAAUUAACAGGGUGAAAAUAGUGACAUUAAAGGAAGAGUAUGCAGCACCACCCUGUC